AAUAAAGUGCCUGAUCAAUAGGGUUGUUUUGAUGGAGCAAAUAAUGUGUGUGCCACCUUUAUUA
rnacentral:tRNA from 1 species